CGCCCGCUGGCUGGGCGGUUGCGGCGGGGUCUAUGCGUGGUUGGGUUUGGCCCGCGAGUCCUCAACACUUCCGGCGCUGAGGAGUAGGGGAGAGUCAAAGACAGUCCGAAAUCCAGCAUCCAGCAGAGACAGGUCCUUCCCCCCUGCCUCUCCCUUCCUAGCGCCCCCUCUCCUUUCCUCUCCUCCGCUCCGCUCUUUUUUUCUCCUUCUUCUUCCUGAGGCGGCUGCUUGCUGCUGCUGCUCCGGGCGCGCUUCUCUGUUCCCGAGCCGCUUGCUCGUCCGUUUCCCCGUGCCUCCUUCUCCGGUCCCCGUCCUUCUCGUCUCUCCUCCUUCCUCCUCCUCCCCCCUCAUCUCCCCUUUUCUCUUCCCCCUUUGCCUUUUUUUUUUUUUUUUUUGUUCCUCUUUCCUUUCUUCCUUCUUCUCUCUUUCAGCAGAUUAUUUGGCUACAAUAGCAGCGAGGUCGCCACCCAGGCUCCAACUCUACCUCCCUUCCUCCGGGAGAAUUAAAAAAAAAAAAAAAAAAAAAAAAAAAGAAAGAAAAGAAAAAGAAAGUGCGGUGCGAACACAAUCGAGGGGGGAUGGAUGGUGCGCUGCGGGCAAAAAUCCUGGCGAACCUUUCUCGAGAGCCCCGGCAGCCCCUCUCUGCCCGCCCGCUCCUCCGAGGGCUCACGGGGACAGCGGGGCAAGCGGUGCGGCGAACGCGCUGCCGGAGACGGCACUCUUCCUCCCUCUGUUUUGUGCGCGGUUUGUUGGUGGUGGUUGGUUGUUGUUUGUUUUUAAUCCUCUUAGGCUGUGUGGAUAGUAGGAUAUGUAUGGCCUCGAGUGUUGGGAAAAGCUUGUUGCCGAGCUCUGGGAGAGUGAGUGAGAGAAGGAGCGACGCAAAGAGCUCUGCCUGGAUGGAACAGCAUCAGCCAGCGCCCUGCCCCGCCGGCUGGAGGGGCAAGCGAAACCCCACGCCGAACACACACAUACACACACACACUCCACGCACGCAAACGCGGGGGGAGGGUGACGUCACUCCGCUCCGGCCCGGGGCGCAUCCCGGCGGGCAGCGGGCGGGGCAGGAUCGGGCCGGGUUGCUCCUGGCUGUCCUGGCCGGACGACUUCGGCAAGUCGUGAUGCUCGUCAUCUCCCUCCCUCAAAACUUCCUUCGGGAAGGAGGAACUGAGAGAAUGUUCUUGAGAGGUUGUGACAAAGUUCAUGAAGACAAAGAAAAGGUAUUCAUGGGCCACAGAUCUGGUUACAGGGCUUUGGAGAAAGGAGGAGUAAAUAUCUCAGAAGUGUAAGCAUGCUAUCCUUUACAGCUUUGAAUAGAAACCAUGGUGCUGAUCAUUCUACGGGAUGAACCUCCUUCACCGCCCCUUCACCCCAUCAAAAAACAUUGGAAAAGUGAGAAAGAAGAGCUGCUUCUCCACAAAGAUAAAAAGAAGCUUUUUACUAUAAAAAG
ensembl:lncRNA